GACGUAGGGCGCGAGCGUUUGUCCGGAUUUAUUGGGCGUAAAGAGCUCGUAGGCGGCUUGUCGCGUCGUCCGUGAAAACCCAUGGCUCAACUGUGGGCUUGCGGUCGAUACGGGCAGGCUGGAGUUCGGUAGGGGAGGACUGGAAUUCCAGGUGUAGCGGUGGAAUGCGUAGAUAUCUGGAGGAACACCGGUGGCGAAGGCGGCAUCCUGGGACCGAUAUUGACGCUGAGGCGCGAAAGCCAGGGGAGCAAACAGG
rnacentral:rRNA from 1 species